AACCCUUGUCCUUAGUUACCAGCACGUUAUGUGGGCACUCUAAGGAGGACUGCCGGUGACAAACCGGAGGAAAGGUGGGGAUGACGUCAAGUCAUCAUGGCCCUUACGGCCUGGGCUACACACGUGCUACAAUGGUCGGUACAAAGGGUUGCCAAGCCGCGAGGUGGAGCUAAUCCCAUAAAACCGAUCGUAGUCCGGAUCGCAGUCUGCAACUCGACUGCGUGAAGUCGGAAUCGCUAGUAAUCGUGAAUCAGAAUGUCACGGUGAAUACGUUCCCGGGCCUU
rnacentral:rRNA from 1 species